UGGGGAGUUGGUAUAAUUUAUGCAUAAAUCUAAAUUCCAGCGUGUGUUUGCUAUUUGCUUGGCUGAGUGAGAACUCAACAAUGAAAAACAAGCAAACAAGCAUGAUGAUGAUUAGAAAAAGGAGCAAUAUCACCCUUAUAGAAGGUGGAGUCAUGAAUAAAUGAGGAGUCUUGAUGGGCUAGAACUGAACAGAAGGACUCAUUCUGAAAAGGGGGUGUGUGUCAUGACCCAGAGGGGCUACUAAUACAUCAGAGACACUGUAGAGAAUUUGCCUACUGACUACUUUCUGCUCCCACUACGCAAAUGGACUAUUUCCCCCAGGCCAGCACUGAGUUAAAGCAGUGCUAGAAGCACUGAGAAGUUCUUCCAUGGUCCUUGUUCUGACCCUUGCUUCUCUUCCUUCACAAUGCCGAAACAGGCAGCCAAUAUUCCCAGAAAUGAAGAAGAGGUUGUGUAGUUCCCAGCAUAAAGAAGAGUGAAAAGGUGAAGGCCUCCAUCCCUCUUUCCCUUCUCUUCAAUCUUCUCCUCUAUUUAAAAAAAAAUGCUGGGAUAUCAUCUUUAUCUGAUAUAGAAAGAAAGAAGAAACAUCUUCAUCACAAGUCUUCAAUCUGAGGCUUAAUUAUCUGUCUAGCGGUUUGUUUGUGUGUGCUUUGGAAAACUGAGUAAAUGUAAAAGCAUGUGAUGGUGAGGAAUUUUUUUUUAAAAAAUCGUUGGAGGGUUUUUUAUUUCAUGCCUGUGAGGAGAACUGUUCAGGAAAAUUCAGAUACAAAUCAGGUGGACAUUUGGAAACUUGUUGUAGUCAUAACAAAGUCAAUGAAAGAGAAAAGAGUGGUAAUGUUAGCAGGGAAAAAUAAGUAAGCUGCAAUUAAAAAUUUAAUUAAUUAAUGAAAUAAUUUCAUUGAAGUUUUUCAAUAUGUCUAAGAGAUUCUUUUUAUUUUUGGCCUUCUAGUAAAUAAUUUUAUAGGAAUUCUGGCUCCUAGUCAAAAGCACAAGUAAGAGAGAGUAUGGAGGGAACUGGAGGAAAAAAAUACUGGUACUGAUGAUAAUGAAAUAUUGCUUUGGAAAUGUAGGGCAUGAAAAAAGCAAGUUACUUGCUGAGUCUGGCAAUGUCAAAAUAGCUGGUUUUUCAAAGAAUUGCUGAUGUACUUAAUUCAAUAGAUCAUUGUGAAGAGAGAAGAGUACUUGGAGAAGUCAUAUGAGAUCUCAAAGUGACUCCAGAUUUUAUAUGCAAGAAGUAAUAAAAUGACAUCUUGUAACACAUAAAUAAUUUGGAUUAAAAUAUUUCACUUCCUUGUUCUAUUAUCAUAAAAUCAGAGUUCACACAUAAGCAAGAGGUAAAUAAUGACCCAUGCUUGCAAAGACUCCAUUUCAUAAUUGUUUAUUCAGUUCCAAUGGUGUAUAUAGAAUAAUUAAAGAGUAAUUUUUUUAGUAAAUAUAUCCUGAAUUGAUGGUAGUAUGAAAAAAAUAAAUUUGCUUUGGUUUUUUAAAGCUUACAGGCAGACUUAACAUACAGAACUUAUUUGUAACACUGAAUAUAAUACUGGUCAGAUAUUUCCACUAUAGAGAGAAACUAAUUACAUUUGCAUAUUUGAUGCAUGUUUAGUGUUACCAUCUGUCAAAGUAGUAUAGCCUGGUGGUGCUAAUUUCAAAGGUGAUGAGAGUGACCAAAUAAAUUUUAUGGUAUUUAAUUGCAAAAGCUGAGAAGAUUAUCAAAGGUCAAGGAUGUCUGUAAUCUUCAUUCAGCCUUUUAAUGUAGUAAGCAUUAUGAUACAGCAUUUGAGUGCUAAAUUUGGUCUUCAUUUAGAAAAUUAAUCAAAAUUAGACAGUGAGAAGGGCUCCUUUUUUCACUUAUUGCAAGAGCUAGUUUGUGCACGUAAAUACACACUCUAAUACACACACACACACACACAUCCAUAGUUGCUCAACUAUGCUCAUCAUACGUAUACAUUUGAAUAUGCAUAUAUGUGCAAUAUUUGAAGAUAUAUCUCUUUGUAUAUAAUAAUAGAAUCUUGGAGACUGGAAGGAAUCUUAAAGAUUAUCUAUUUCCAGCCCUUUUCCAUGGGUAGGGACACCUUCCACGAGACCAGGUUGCUCAGAGCCCCAUCCAGCCUGGUCUUGAACACUUCCAGAAAUGGGGAAUCCACAGCUUCUUUGGGCAGCCUGUGCCAGUGCCUCACUACCCCCUGGAUAAAGAAUUUCUUUCUAACACCUAAACUAGACCUACUCUCUUUCAGCUUAAAACCAUUCCUCCUUGUCAUAUCACUCUCUGCCCAUGGAAGAAGUCACUCCCCAUCUUUUUUGAAGCUCCAUUCAAGGAGACUGGAAAGUUCCCUCAGAGUCUUCUCAUUUUCAAGCUGAACUAACAAAGCUCUCUCAGCCUGUCCGUAGCAUUGGUGCCACAGAUCACCUUCAUGGCCUUUCUCUGGACCCUCUCCUAUCCUCUCUAACCUCUCACAUCUCUCUUGUGCUGGAGGCCCCAGUCACACGUAUAGCUGUAGAUGUAGGAUAUAAUAGGAUUAAUAACUUUCAGGUUCAGAGGUAUUCUCAAUCUAGAUUCCAUGAAUGUAAUUCUUAAGUGUUUCAAAUAGCAGUCAGUAACUUCCAGAUGUGGUAUGUUAUUAAAUAAAGAGCACAUAGUCAAAUACACCCUGGUGGUGCUUGAUAAAGACUAAUGACACUCACAGGCAGUUUCUCUAUGUGUGACAUUAUAUCUACUGAAAUAGAUAUUGUUCAUGUUAUCAUCAGUGCUGUUUAAAGUAUGACUGUUAAUAUGGUACUUUACAGGCAAAAGUUUAAUCAAAAGGCAUUCAAAUUUGUGUGCUCAUUAUCAGUGUUACAUACUAAAAUUAGCUUUGCUAAUAACAUACUUGCUUUUGGCUAUAGUUUUCAUGUACUAUUUCUCUGUUUGUGGAUCAUUGUAAAAAGGCAAGGCUUAAUAAAAACUGAAUUUAUUUCAGCAUAACAUUUUAUAUUGCGGCAAAUGAAAAAUAAAAGCCUUGAUCUCAUCUUUUAAUGAAAGUAUGUUUCCAGAAUCCCUUUCUUCUCAAUGCUGAGGAAAGAAGGAUAAGGUGCAUAGACCUUCAGGCCUUGUGUCUCUUUAGCGGCAGAACAGAGAAGAGCCUCAGCCUCAGAAACCCCCAGAUCUUUCUACCAGAAUACAGGCAAUGCAUAUGUGUAAUGUACUGUCCUGAAGUAUGAUUCUGCAUAAUACUAAUAGCAAGGUGUAAAAAAAAAAAAAAAGAUGAGGCUUCUAAACCAGCAUCUUUGUUUAAUUUGCUUCAGGACCCCUGGAUAUGCAAUAUUCCAGGACUGACAGGCAUUGGAUUUAUUGCUAUUCUCAGCUGAGCUGGAAAAGACUAUCUGGAGAAUGAGCACUUAAACUAAUACUGAAAAAAAAAAAAAAGAAAAAAAGCUUUAACUGAGCCACUGUUCUGGCUUCAAGGCAUCUGAAUCUCAUUUACUUUAGGAGCAGUUCUUUCCCCAGCAAGAAAGAGCUUACACUGCCAUCAAAGUGCAGAAAAUACAAGUACUUUUCAAUAUAAAACUCUUCCUUCUCAAAGUGUCUGAGUUUUUGACUGAGAUUCUGACUGCUUAGUCACUGGAAAAAGGCUGAUAACUCCAGUGGGACCUGGAUUUGCAGUUAUCCAUUUGUAUUAAAAGCUUCAGAGCUGUUAGAAACUACAAACACUUUCUUUCCUUCUAUCACACUAAUGUGUUUUCAGUUGAGGUAAAACCAAAGAGUUUCUGGAAAUGUCCUUCAUAACCAUUUAAAGUCUAAACAUGAAUGUGAGAAUCCUCACAGCACUCAGUGAGAACACAGUUAAGCAGCUGGAACUCAGGAAUUGAGUCUGCAUUACUGACAUUACAGUCUACAUUACAUGGAGUAAGCUUUUUCAGCUGCUCAUGCAGUCAUUCCAAGUACAUGCCAUUUAAUAGUAAUUUUCAUUCAUCGAGGCUUAUUUGAGAGGAGUUAAUCUAAGGAUCAAAAAUUUCAGUUAACUUUGCAGAGAAAAAAGCUACCUCUUUAAGAAUUGUUUGGCCUAAGUUUUCAGGUUGGGCAGAAAAAGGAAAAAUAUUUUCCCUGUGAGAUUGCAGCCAAAUAUUCUAGUUUGAGAGGUGAAAGUUUAAUGAAAAACCUGGAUAGUGAAGUGAUAAAACUAUAUACGAGUUUAUAAGGAAAUGAAAUCCUUUGUAUUCAGUUCAGGAUAUGCAGUAAGUCAAACCAGGACCUGCAUACUGAGCAGUCAGAUAGGAAGAAAGAUGAGAUCAGAGAACAUUUACUGGGGCUUGCACAUCCAGAGUACCAAAUCUGAAAAGAAAGUGGCUGAGUAGAGGAAAUACUGGGGAAAAAGAAAUUCUCAUGCUAUUUAAA